rnacentral:rRNA from 1 species
UUUAUGGAGAGUUUGAUCCUGGCUCAGGACGAACGCUGGCGGCGUGCCUAAUACAUGCAAGUCGAGCGAACGUCAAAGGAGCUUGCUCCUUUGACGUUAGCGGCGGACGGGUGAGUAACACGUGGGCAACCUACCCUAUAGUUUGGGAUAACUCCGGGAAACCGGGGCUAAUACCGAAUAAUCUCUUUUACUUCAUGGCAAGAGACUGAAAGACGGCAUCUCGCUGUCGCUAUAGGAUGGGCCCGCGGCGCAUUAGCUAGUUGGUGAGGUAACGGCUCACCAAGGCGACGAUGCGUAGCCGACCUGAGAGGGUGAUCGGCCACACUGGGACUGAGACACGGCCCAGACU